CCCCUUGUUUUCAAACUGAAUUGUUUCAGUGGUAGCUUGGUGUGUCAGCUUGUAAGUCUAUAAAACAGUUUUAUACCAGCUGGAGAUUCAACAUGCUACAUGAAUACAUAACAGUGCCUAACCAAGAAGGUUUGUAAUUCAGUAAUUAGCUGUAAUUAAUGAACACAAAGUGAAGACUCAUUUACAGUUUAAAUUAUCACAUUAGCUCCUGUCACCCUCUAUGUACACAAAACAGCAGGAAUUCAAUUAUUUUUAUUCUUCAAAGCUAAUUUAAAAUUUAAGGGAUGCCAUUACAUGAAAUAAUAGGUAGGAAAUGUAAUCGAAAUCACUGGGAACAGUUGGCCGUCCUUAGAAUAAAAAAAAAAAAUGCGAUCGCUGACGAUUUGGAAAUGUUUUUUCAUCUGUGAACAGAUGAAGGAUUGAAAUCUCUGCUCUUUUCAGUGUAUUUAAUUUAAAAGAGGAAGCGAGUUUGGUGGUGGCUGAAUCUUUGUGCAGAGAGAAUCACUGUGCAUAAUUGUAAAAGCAGUUGAUAACUGAUA
rnacentral:lncRNA from 1 species